AGUUCAUUCGUUCUACUAGUACAGUGUAGGUCAUUCAUUCUACUAAAAAUACCAGUCGUGCCCUCUUCGGAAGGUAGCUACAACACUUCGAGCGUGAAAUUUUAUCGAGAGGAUUAAUCUUUAAAAGUUACCGAUUGCGCUUUUGUCCUUUUGUUGCAGAAUAAAAUUUAUUUGUUCCGUAAGACGUUUUGAGAUAACUUUUAAAGACCAAGUUUUAAUAAAAAUUAAAGUGUU
rnacentral:misc_RNA from 1 species